rnacentral:lncRNA from 1 species
GUUCAAUAAUUCCAGCUGUAGAAGUUAAGUAACAUGCAGCAUUUCCCUUGACUACCUUAACAUAGUUCUCUGCAUUUGUAGAGUCUGGCCAGGAUUGGAAGCAGAAGAGUGAAAGAACUAUGAGAGAAGCUGUUUUGGCAGUACUUUUGGCCAGAACCAAAAUAAGGAGGAAACACUCAGAAGUCAUGAGAAAACUUGUCCUCAAGAAAAUUCUAGUCUGAUUCCUCCACUCUACAGUUUAACCCUUGAAUUGAGGGAAUAAUUAUUCAGGGUGCCAGGAAUCUUGGUUAAGUACACCAUGAGGUUUGCAGGACUGCUCUAACUUUAGGAGAAGAAAGGGAGCAGCUGCCUUAGGACCACGUCUUUCCAGGAGUCUGUCCCACUAGCACCCCUUCCCCUACUCCCAUGUUGGAAGGAAAUAUGCAAGAGGAAAUAGGGGCCAAACCCACUCACCAGGGAAGGCCACACUGCUUCUCUGUGAUUGGGACAGCUGAGAGAACAGAUCUUCUGAGACCCAAAGAGAAGAACAAGUUCUCCUCAGCCUGAGGGAUGAUGAAAUGACCCAAAGAGGGAGGAGGAGGGCAGGAUGCACAAGAAAAGCAGGACAUCCUCUGGAGUUGGAUUGGAACCAGAAGAGGCCUUGGAGAUAAAUAAAUAAAUAAUGGACCCUCAGGAUAUAUUAAAAUCCCACUAAUAGGAUUCCACUCCUGCCAGAGCCUAUUGCAGUGUUUCUUAGCCAGACCCCAAAUAGCAUUCUGCCCUACCAUAAUUCCUGCAUUCAAUUACUAGUGCCUUCCUUUUAUUCCCAGUGUUUAUCUGCUAGCUUUUGAAAUGGGUGCUUUAUGACAAGCUUUAAGACUCUUUUAUUUUCAAAAGUACCUCAUCAGUCAUCUUUAUUUUGAAAGUCUCUUGUUAGACAAUUGUCCCACCCAUCCCUAGCUAAUGAAGAUAGAUUGAGACAUGUGAAACUGCUUCGAGUUCACAGGGAGGAAUUAAAACUGCUAAGGAUAGUAUUUAUUGAGUUCUAUGUGCCGGUCACUGCACUAAACUCUGAGAUGAAUACCAAACUAGCAAUGCAGAUCUGAGGAUCUCCUAAUCUAGGUGCAGUAGUUCCAAUGCAGGAAUCCCAAGAGAGGAG